GAUGAACGCUGGCGGCGUGCCUAACACAUGCAAGUCGAACGAAGCACCUUUUAAGAUUCUUCGGAUGAUUGAUUGGUGACUGAGUGGCGGACGGGUGAGUAACGCGUGGGUAACCUGCCCUGUACAGGGGGAUAACAGUUGGAAACGGCUGCUAAUACCGCAUAAGCGCACGAGAGGACAUCCUUUUGUGUGAAAAACUCCGGUGGUACAGGAUGGGCCCGCGUCUGAUUAGCUGGUUGGCAGGGUAACGGCCUACCAAGGCGACGAUCAGUAGCCGGUCUGAGAGGAUGAACGGCCACAUUGGAACUGAGACACGGUCCAAACUCCUACGGGAGGCAGCAGUGGGGAAUAUUGCACAAUGGGGGAAACCCUGAUGCAGCAACGCCGCGUGAGUGAAGAAGUAUUUCGGUAUGUAAAGCUCUAUCAGCAGGGAAGAUAAUGACGGUACCUGACUAAGAAGCUCCGGCUAAAUACGUGCCAGCAGCCGCCGUAA
rnacentral:rRNA from 1 species